rnacentral:misc_RNA from 1 species
UUUUUUUUUUUUUUUUUUUGACGGAGAAUACACAAAGAGAAUACACACGGAGGACUGAGACAACAUAGAAAUCUUAUUUAUUGUAGUCAGAUGCGUGAAUUAAGUUGGCAAGAAGAGAUAGCAAUUGCACUGCAUUUUUGCUAGAUACACAGUGGGAAACUUCCUGUUAUAUUUUUUAUUAUUAAGAUCAAAUGAUUCCUUCAGAAAACAAAAUAUAUAGGUCAUAGGAUCUACUGGGUUCAUUUGUAACUGGGUGUUGGAACCAGGAUGCUGCAUUGAUAAAUAUUUACAAGGAAAAAUGAUAAUUGUAGAAUGAGGAUUUGGAUUUGAGCA